ensembl:piRNA 21ur-12496 ncRNA
UAAUUUUUUCACAAUCGAGUC